ACUACCUGGAAGAAGCUGAGCUAGCUCUUUAGAGCUAACGUUGCUAAACAGUGUGGACCUUAUCAAAGAUAUUUAGAGGAUUACACAGCAGAGAUUCCAAGGACUACCAAGUACAGAUGGAAAGUAAAAGAUAGGGCAGAACUACGGGACAACUCACGAGAUCACAUUAGUCAGCCCACUGCUUCCCAUAGAGAAGUUACAGAUGAUGUCAACAGUAGGAGCUCUUCCACACCUAGGCUUUUGGAUUCUGCCCUUCAACAGAAUAUCAGUCAUGAUGACAUCAACACAGAUGGUCACAUGACUUACACUUCGACCAGUGGAGAGGAAGAACUCAAUUCCAGCAGUGAAGAUGAACUUGAUAGUGAGAGCUCUUCCACGGACAGCCUGUUGGAUAUGGACAUUCAAGAGAAUGAUAAUAUAGAUAACCACACUGACACAGAAGACCACUGGAGUAACACUUCCAGCAGUGAAAAUGAAGACGAUGAGCUCGACACUGAGAAACCAACCACAAGCCAGUUGGAUGUGGACGUCUCAGAGGUGAAUGCACCAUUCUAUGGGUUAGUUUAUAUACGCUUCCUUUAAUCUUUUAAUUAAUUACUUCAAGUUAUCUUUUUCCCUUGUCAACUUGUAAAAUGAUGAAGCUCUGCCACAUCCUGAAGAGGACUUGAUUGGUGCUGCCAUUGAUGAAGCUGAAAACCAUGCUGAUGACGAAAACGUGAUGGAGGGGAGUGCAAGAGGAAAUGAACCUGAAUUUCCAGUGGGCAUUGAAGACCACACAGAUGGUGACAAGCCCCUAUAUCCUGGUGCACCUGUUUCAAAGGGAGAAAGUUUAUUGAUGCUGAUGUCCUAUGUGCUGCAUAACAACUUAACAGGCAAAGCACUUACUCAUUUACUGAAACUGUUCAAUCUAAUGUUUCCAGGUUUGAUUCCACCCUCACAUUCAAUUCAGUCUUUUGUUGAAGAACUUUACUUUAGUAAAAGGAAAACAGAAAAUUGUGAAAUGCUAAAUGAAAAUGUCAGAGGUUUUGGUCACCCCCCGGUGCAAACAAGUAUAAAAAUGUCAUUUAGGCUUGCCAUUGUGGAAAUCUAAGCAACUGCUUUUGGUCUUAGAACCGUUUUUUGGUACAUGGACUUGUGUAUCACAGUCAAAACUAUGACAGACUAAAGAAGAGACACAAUAGUGCUGCAUGCUUGAAAGAUGGUACAUUUUGUUUAAUUACUGACUUGGUUAUUUUUAAACAAACAUGUUCACAUCAAAUCCCUGCUUUUUGUUCAUGUGGCAAACUAUGUUGUGUUUUAGUUGAGGUACUUAUUAAAUCAGUUAUACUUAUUAAAUAUGUAAAGAUUCACACAUCAGUGUACAAAGUACUUUCGUACAUGUUGUGAAAAAAGCUGAAACUGUUAAUGCUGUCUGGCCUGACAUGAUCAAAACAAAAUGUGUUCUUGUUGAAACAGCUGAUGCUAUGUACAUAACACCAUUGCCAAACCCUUAUGAAAGGGACU